ensembl:lncRNA
GUUUUCAUGGCAGCUGUACAUGUGUAAUGCUGCUACGGGAUAAAAAUCUCUCUGGCACAUCUCUGGUGAAGCUUAAGACCAAUUUGACACUGCGAUUUACGUCGUAAACAAAACAGACCAGGGUGUGUUCUCUCGCCCUUUGGCAAGUGGCAGAGCUCUUAUAUACAGCAAGCUCCCCUCCCACAGCCACCCCUGGAACAAAAAGAGCUGGCUUUAUCCAAGCCUGGAGGAACAGCGUCUCAGGAGGGCUCAGAGGCAGCGGCCAAGCUGCGCUGGGAGACACAAGGGCAGCAAAGCAGUGCGGCUGCCCCGCUGGGAUCCGGGCCUGACUCCAUCCACUUUACAGGGUACGUACAGCCCAGACAAUCUUGCUGCUGUUUCACAGUAUCUCCAGUACUUCCUAAUUUCAGAAGGCUCUGUUUAAAGUUCAGGGUCUCUGAUCAUUCCAAGCUGAAGCGCACAGCCCGUGCUACGGGAAGUUGGUUGGGUUCUGCUCCACUGCUGAUUGCUCAGAAUUUCCAUUCAAAGCUCCUUCCUAUUUCCUUUUUAGACAUGCAUAGUGUAAUACCCAGAGAGACUGCACAAAUUUACCAAAAGGGGGACAAGAGAGGACAUCUUGCCAUCGGGGUCAGGCGCUCUCUGAUGUUUUGUCAGGUGCCUGUACCCACAGUGUGGAGGUCCCAAAGGGCACUGACUGUUUCCUGAGCUAUGUGCCCAGAGCCCCUGUCCCUCUCGGAACUCCUCCUGCUAUAGUCAGGCAGCAGCACUUAGUGGUUGGGGUGGUGUACAUCCUGUGUCCCUGGCAUGGGAGAUGAGACCUCCAAGAGGGAUCCCAUGGAUGGAUAUGAACACAGCCCUGCUGCAAACAGAACUGGGGGUCUGCUCCCACUUCACACAUGCGCCACGUAGAAAGGCAGGACUUGCUUCACAGAGCUCGUAUCUCCCAACAAGCCUCAGCCUUGAGACCUUCAAUUCAUAUGGCACCAACUGCACCUGGAGACCUCCCAGCCGUACAGCACUCAACCAUACCUGGGGAGCUUCAAUCCAUACAGGACCCAACCAUACCUGGGGAGUUCCAAUCUAUACGACACCCAAACAUACCUGUGGACCUCCCAGUCAUACUGCACCCAGCGGUACCUGGCAGUGCUGCUGAAGCCUGCAGCACUGUGUUGCCUCACUGCAAUGAUGCACAGGAGCUGUCAUCAUCCGUGGUACCUUUUCUUGCCCCAUUCCAUCAGCAUGGAGAGUACAUGGUGCCAGCCACAUUGCAGCUGCACAGGAGAUGCAGCAACUAAAGCAAAAGAGGGAUUUUAACCUCCCUUGCACAUCAUAUUGCACUUGCCACUAAAAUGACCAAAACUAUCCAGUGAUGUCACCCAUCAGUUAUACAAAAGCUCAAAACAGGCAAAUUCCAUGUGGAAAUCACCCAAGCAAAUAAGCUCAUCUCAAUGCAUAAAAGAAUAUCCCAGAUCAGUUUCCUCUCUUCCAGGCCAUGAUUCACUCCCCAUUUAGUCCUGGCUAACCACAUCAUGGGAGCUCUGGGAUAAGAACUACGUUAUUCUCUGCUCUGAUCCAGGAAGGCUCUGAUGUGCUUUGGAAUGUCUCAGGAUUGUUGCAAUUAAAAUUCUUGUUAAUUUUACAGAGGAGGCAUUUUCAUUUGUUGCCUUUUUACAAAUGGCUUUAGCAGUCCCAGACCACCAGAGUCACAGCACAAAGAAAUCAAUGAACUCCUUGGCAUGGUGCUUUCCUUGCCUGAAUUUGCAUCAAGCUUGUUUACAGUCUGUGGGCCUGUAGGAGAAAAGGGUCAUUUAUAAUAUGUACCCUGGCAUUGCUCUAUCUUCUGCCUACUACAGGAAGCUGGUCACUGUAUCAAAGAUCAGAGUUGCUCAUGCCAACACAGGAAGGUUAUAUAUACAAGCACAAAGGAACAAGGAUGCAAGGUUUUGCUGCUGUGCGCUACUGGUCUCCACAUUUGACCAUAAACUGCUUGAAUCAAUUCAAAACAAAACACUUGCUGCAGCACCACCCUGAUUACUCACAGACUAAUUCUCCCGUUGCAGAGACAAGACAUUCCAUUAUCAAGAUGUUUGAUACAACUUUGAAAAGAUGAGUUUAUGUAAAAUUGCAUUAGAGUCUUAUUUAGAGAGUGGAAUGACCUUAAGUGGCUGUGCUUUAAAAAGGCUAACAAAAUAGUAGAUAAUAUCAAAUGGGCACACAUUGCAGGGAAGUAAUUUCCCUCUGUUACACACACAGCAUCUGUGGAACAGGCAAAUGUUUAUCAGGAACUGAAGCUCAUCAUAUCAGUUAAUUAUUUCAUGGAAAUGAACAAAGAGAAGGCUUUUUAUACAUUUCCAAAAAAUCACAGAUGCAGACAGGACCUUUUCAGAAGCCAUUCCUGCAAUCGAGUGCUGUUGGGAUAAAAACCAGCAAGGAAUUACUGCUAAGAAACCUUUAGUCAACUCUUGCAGAUCUGAUGCAAACCUAAGUGUUGCAGGAGUCACGUGCUGCAGGACUGACACAGAAGACCAGCAGAGGAAUGCAGCCAAGUGUGCCUCCUC